rnacentral:rRNA from 1 species
UACGGGGGGAGCAAGCGUUGUUCGGAUUUACUGGGCGUAAAGGGCGCGUAGGCGGCCACCGCAAGUCGAUUGUGAAAUCUCCGGGCUUAACUCGGAAAGGUCAGCCGAUACUGCGGGGCUAGAGUGCAGAAGGGGCAACUGGAAUUCUCGGUGUAGCGGUGAAAUGCGUAGAUAUCGAGAGGAACACCUGCGGCGAAGGCGGGUUGCUGGGCUGACACUGACGCUGAGGAGCGAAAGCAUGGGUAGCGAACAGG